rnacentral:rRNA from 1 species
UGGGGAAUCUUGCGCAAUGGGCGAAAGCCUGACGCAGCAACGCCGCGUGUGUGAUGAAGGUCUUCGGAUCGUAAAGCACUGUCGGGAGGGACGAACAAGUGCAUAGCUAACAUCUAUGCGCCUUGACGGUACCUCCAAAGGAAGCACCGGCUAACUCUGUGCCAGCAGCCGCGGUAAUACAGAGGGUGCAAGCGUUGUUCGGAAUUAUUGGGCGUAAAGCGCGUGUAGGCGGCCUAGCAAGUUGGGUGUGAAAGCCCUCGGCUUAACCGAGGAAGUGCGCCCAAAACUACUAGGCUUGAGUACCGGAGAGGAUGGCGGAAUUCCCGGUGUAGAGGUGAAAUUCGUAGAUAUCGGGAGGAACACCAGUGGCGAAGGCGGCCAUCUGGACGGAUACUGACGCUGAGACGCGAAAGCGUGGGGAGCAAACAGGAUUAGAUACCCCGGUAGUCC